rnacentral:snRNA from 1 species
CUGCUUGCUUCGGCAGCACAUAUACUAAAAUUGGAAUGAUACAGAGAAGAUUUGCACGGCCCCUGCGCAUGGGUGACAAGCAAAUUUGUGAAGCGUUCCAUAUUUUU